GAGGGUUUGCAAGCGUUGUCCGGAAUUAUUGGGCGUAAAGCGUCUGUAGGUGUCCUGUCAAGUUUUCUGUAAAAUUCCAAUGCUCAACAUUGGAGCUGCAGAAAAACUGGCAGGAUCGAGGAAGGGAGAGGUAGAUGGAACUCACGGUGUAGUAGUGAAAUGCGUUAAUAUCGUGGGGAACACCAAUAGCGAAGGCUAUCUACUGGCCCUUUCCUGACACUGAGAGACGAAAGCGUGGGGUAGCGAAUGGGAUUAGAUACCCCAGUAGUCCACGCCGUAAACGAUGGAUACUAGACACAAGGAGAGUCGACCCUCUUCGUGUCGUAGCUAACGCGUUAAGUAUCCCCGCCUGGGAGUACGGUCGCAAGACUA
rnacentral:rRNA from 1 species